rnacentral:sRNA from 1 species
UUACCACCAUCUGAUCCACUUGAUCCCCAUACUCCAUCAAAGUCAAGCUAUUGACUAUAAACAAGCGCUUAGUGGGAGGCAACCCAC